GUCGUAAGAAGCCUCGCCAUGAAGUAAUUGGUUUAACAGGUAAUGCAGGUGAUCAAUCUACUGGUAAAUAUGCUAAUCAGCAAAAGGAGCAAGUGUUGAGUAAUAGAAGCCCCAAAAUGCUGGAAGAGGACUCGUGGGCCGAUGCACCUGAUGGUGCAUUCUCUUCUCCACGUCAAAAAGCCAUAGUCGGAGAAGUUUCAAGUUUACCAUCUGAAAGUACCAGGACAUCCGAUCAUUGCAUCAAAAGUAAUAACAUAGACUCCAUUGAGAACGAGCCUUGUCCUAAUGGUUGCAAUCUUGAUGACAAGAAUGCUUCUGUGGGGGAGAACUCUUAUAGCUAUCCACUUGGUCCCAUAUCUCAGGCUGAUAAUGAUCUCAGUUUUCUUGAUAAUAGUUGUGAGGAUAAAGACUCUAAUGAUCUCUUAUAUUAUAGCUGGCCUGAGAUAGAGAACUUUGAGGAUGUUGACCGGAUGUUCAGGAGUUGUGAUUCGACAUUUGGAUUUGGACCUGGUAGUGAAGAUGACCUAGGUUGGCUUUCAUCAUCAGAUGUUAUUGAAGGAUCUGGAGAUGGAUUGACGUCUGGUUUUAAGUUUCCAUGUCCAGCAUCCAAUGCGCUUGGAAGUACAUCCGCCAGUUGUGAUACUUCAAAGCCAAAGGAAACAAACAUUUCAACGGAUAAUUCUGGCAUUGAGAAUCAAUCACUUGGCUAUAAUAGCAGUUCGUGGUCCUCCGAGAAAAAUGAAUCUGUAAAUCUGGGUCAUAUGCCUUUUUUAAAUGGAUCAAGUAAUUUACAGUGCAAGUUAGUACCUGAUAAGAAGGCUGAGGUACAUGGUGGUGGAGUCCAGGUCGAGAUUAUAUCUAAUAACCAACCAAGAAUCAACGAUAAUAUAGUGGAUAGCAUGCAAAAGAAACACUCCAAGCACCAGAAUCGCUCUGAGGGUAAAAGAAAAUGUGGUUAUCUAGAAAAUGGAGACACACUCAAUUACACUGAUAGCCUUCCAGAGGAGCAGAAGCUGCCAUCUGGGACCGGAAGCACUCACGUGAGUUUCGCAUCUGCAGGUGUCCUGCAGCAAAAGCAAGCUCAAGAUCCUGAUUUUGGCUACUUGGGUGGUAGCUUCUCUUACAUGGAUUCAGAUUACGGUCAUUCCGAUGGGAGUGCUCUCCAUCCAACUCUACCAAUUUUAAAAUAUGAAAGUAACGGUCUCGUGUCUCUUUCCCCCAAGGACUCUUAUGCAUCAAAUCAGGUACAGUCCAU
rnacentral:misc_RNA from 1 species